rnacentral:Y_RNA from 1 species
CCGAUGGUAGUGGGUUAUCAGAACUUAUUAACAUUAGUGUCACUAACGUUGGUAUACCACCCCCCACUGCUAAAUUUG